AGGUUCAUCUUCCCCACCGCGAAGAUGACGCUGGCGUCCUUAGGGAUGGUGUAUCCGCCCAGAGAGAUUUCCUCAGUGACGGCGUGGGGGAGCACGAAGUAACCCGGCGGAUGGCGCCUGAGCCCCUCCAAGAUCACAGCCCUCAGGUACGGUUUCUUCUGCAGGUCCUCCUCCUUCGUCUCCGCGCCAAUUUCCUCAGCCAGUUUUUCUUGCACGCUAAGGUGCUUGACGACGUUCGCCAUGAUCCACUCCAGCGCCGUGGAGGUGGAUUCGGAGCCGGAGGUGAGGAACUCGGAGCAGAGGGAGAUGACCUCCUCGUCGUUGAGCUUCCUCCCUCGCUCUUCCUGGAUCUUGAGGUCCAGGAGGGAAUCCAAGUAGGAGGAGCGGAUGAUGGAGUUGCUCCAGCUCGUGAUGGAGUUGCUCCAGCUCUUCGGGGGGGGGAAUCAUCGGCUCUGGCGAGAACUUCCGGCGAGGCGUCAAUUUGGGGAUUUUUGCCGGAUCAGGUAGUUAUGACCAUUUGCAAGUUUUAAUCAGGACCGUCUGAUGGGAGGAGUUAUAACGGGCCGGAUGUGGCCAGCAAGGAUAAGUCGCCAGAUGGACGAGCGGCGGUUGGAGUUAGUUUCUCUCUUCUUCCUCCAUUGGCUGCCCUAUAAAUAGGGCUAAGUGUUCGACGAUAUGACAGAGAGAGAAAAACAAGUGUUUGUGAAGCCUUCUUGUUCAAUCUUGAUUCUCCGUUUUUUUCUUCUCUUCUUGUUUCUUCUGUUCUUAGAGUGAAUCCAAGAUAAAGAUCCAACAAGUGGUAUCAGAGCCAAGAAAGGAUUCAAGAAUGGCGAAGAAAGCGAAUGAAGCUAGUACCUCCGGUGAGCGCGAGGGAGAGAUGGUGAUAACGGCAUCAUCCCUUAAGCUCACAAGGACCAACUACAGGGUGUGGUCCAUGGCAAUGGAAGUAUAUCUUGAUUCUCACGAUCUAUGGCAAGCUAUAGUCGGGGAGAAUGUGUCAAAGAAGAAGGAUCGUUUGACUUUGUCGGCAAUCAUUAGUGCCGUGCAGGAAGAUCUUCUUGUCGUACUGGAUGCGAAGAAGAUAGCCAAACAAAAUUGGGAGAUUCUAAGGCAGAGGAAUCUCGGAGUUGAUCGCGUGAUUCAGUCACGCAUACAAGGUUUGAAGCUGGAAUAUGAAAAUCUCACGAUGAUGAAGAAUGAGUCGAUAGUGGAUUUUGCGAUGAAAUUCACUCAGAUUCUCUCAGAUUUGCAGAAUUUGGGGGAAAAGAUGGAGGAGUGAGAAGCUGUGCGCCGAUUCUUGAGGGCGACCCCUUCAAAAUUUGACGCCAUUACCCUGUCAUUGGAGCAAUACGGAGACCUUGACAAGGUAAGUCUCGAUGAAGUCAUCAGCUCAUUAACUGUUCAUGAGCUUCGGCUCAAAGAACGCAAAUCUCACGAAGAGGAGCAGGCGUUGCUGACUAAGGCGAUGAAUAAGUCCAAAGCGCCUAAUGAGGAAGCUUCCACGUCCCGAGGAGGAAGAAAUCGGGGUCACAGAAGAGGAAGAGGAAGAGGCAGAGGUCGCGGCCGUGGACGAGGACAGACCUCUGAUGAAGACAAGAAGUCGUUUGAUAAAUCGACUAUUCAGUGCUACAAUUGUCAGAAGUAUGGGCAUUUUGCAUUCGAGUGUCGAAAUGCAAAGAAGGAGAGGGAAGAUCGAGCUUAUGUAGCCGAAACCGCUCCGGCGCCCGCAGCUCCGCCCGCACCAGCACCGGUGGCUGCAACUUCCUCACUCCUGAUGGCCAUCGUUGAAGGGUCAACCGACUUGCUUCUUCAUGGAUCAGAGAGUUCGCUCUCAGACUCGACAUUGUGGUACUUGGAUACUGGUGCGACAAAUCAUAUGACAGGAAACAGAAGUUUCUUUUGCAACCUGGAUGAGUCUGUCACAGGAUUUGUCAAAUUUGGAGACAAUUCAAAGAUUAGAAUUGAAGGCAGGGGUGACAUUGAGGUCAACCAGAAGAUCGGGGGGACCCUGCGUCUCCAGAAUGUGUUGUAUGUACCUGGUCUCGCUGCAAACAUUCUCAGUAUUGGUCAUUUGGAUGAAGAAGGCUGCCGUAUGACCAUGGCUGGAGGCAAACUCACUAUUUAUGAUCGUGAUGAUCAAUUGUUUGCAGAAGUACGACGAAUAGAGGGGAGGAUGUAUCUUCUCAAGCUUGAUGUGGUGGACCAAUGCUUGCUCACGAGCGACGAUGAUCAGGUAAGUUGGCUCUGGCACUCUCGAUUCGAACAUGUGAAUUUCCAUUCACUAAGGGAGAUGUUCUGAAAGAACCUGGUCCAAGGAUUGCCAAAAAUAGAUGCUCUUACCAGAGUAUGUCGAAGCUGUGUUGUAGGAAAGCAACAUCGAGUGCCUUUCCCUCAGGCCUUUACCUAUCGAGCAUCUGAGCCACUAGAGCUAAUAUAUGCCGAUAUAUGUGGCCCAAUUACACCACCCACAUUAGGGGGAAGUAGGUAUUUUCUCCUAAUCAAUGAUGAUUUUUUGAGAUUAACGUGGGUGGCUAUGUUGAAACAUAAGAGUGAGGCAUUUGAAGCCUUUAAACGGUUCAAAGCUCUGGCUGAGACUGAGAAAGGGAUGAAGAUAAAGACCUUCAGAUCAGAUAGAGGAGGAGAGUUCACGUCUGAAGAGUUUUCAAGUUUUUGCCUGUCUCAAGGCAUUAAAAGGCAAUUGACUGCCCCUUCCUCUCCUCAACAGAACGGGGUGGUGGAGAGGAAGAACCAAACCGUGAUGAAAAUGGUGAGAGCUAUGUUGAAAGAGAAAGGGCUGCCCAGAGAACUAUGGGGAGAAGCUGUGAGUACGGCCAUCUACAUUCUCAAUCGUUCCUUCACUAAAAGCCUGCAGGGUCAAACUCCAUAUGAAAAAUGGACUGGUCGAAGACCAAAAGUUGACCAUAUGAGGACAUUUGGCUCGAUUGUUCAUGUGAAGAACACUAGGGGGCAAUUAAGCAAACUUGAAGACCGGAGUCAGCCCAUGAUUUUUAUUGGCUAUGAGCUUGGGUCAAAAGCUUAUCGGUGCUUUGAUCCAAUCCUUGCCAAAGUCACAGUCAGCCGCAAUAUGAUCUUUGAGGAAGGAGAAAAGUGGGAUUGGUCAAAGUAAGGAGAAGGCACUGUGGGAUUCACCUUCCUACUUGAUUCUCUCCCAUGUCCGAUUUUGGGAAACGAAGAAGUUGUUGAAGAAAUGGAAGCCCCUGUUUCACCUGAAGAGAAUUCGAGUGUUCAGAGUGAAUCUGAAGACACUCGACCAGCAAGAUAUAGGUCAAUUGCUGACUUAUACUCGGAGUCCGCUCCUGCUGGUCAAGGCGAUGAAGUAUGCAUGAUUGCUGGGGAGGAACUGCUCACCUACUCAGAAGCCAUAAAAGAAGAGAUAUGGAGGCAAGCUAUGAGGGAGGAAAUGUUGGCCAUAGAUCGAAGUAAUACUUGGCAAUUAGUCUUACCUCCGACAAAUUGCAAGCCCAUCGGGCUUAAGUGGAUCUUCAAAGUAAAGAAGAAUCCACGAGGUGAAGUAGUGAGGCACAAGGCUCGGUUGAUUGUAAAGGGCUACUCACAAAGGCAGGGGAUUGAUUAUGAAGAGGUGUUUGCUCCUGUGGUACGUUUCGAGACUAUAAGAGCUCUGAUUGUAGUGGCAGCAAUCUAUGAUUGGGAUUUACAUCAUUUAGAUGUUAAAUCCGCUUUCUUAAACGGUGAAAUCAGUGAGGAAGUUUAUGUAAAGCAACUUGAUGGGUUCAUGGCAGAAGGCAAGGAAGAUCAUGUCCUAAAACUAAAGAAAGCUUUGUAUGGCUUGAAGCAAGCUCCUCGGGCCUGGUACUUCAAGCUGUAUCAAAGUCUGAUUUCACUCGGUUUUCAUAAAAGCCAGCAAGAGCAAGCACUGUAUCUCAGACGAUCAAGAGGAGAAAUCUUGAUUGUGGGAGUGUACGUGGAUGACCUGAUAGUCACAAGGUCAACCCCAGAAGAAAUUGAGAAGUUUAAAGAUGAAAUGAAGCUGCAAUUUGAUAUGAGUGAUCUCGGAUCACUGAGCUCCUAUCUGGGACUUGAAGUAUAGCAAGACAAAGACUGCAUCUUCUUGACACAGAAAGCCUAUGCACUAAAGGUUUUGGAGCAUGCAAGGAUGGAGAACAGCAAUGCCAUUGCUACCCCAUUAGAAGCCCGAGCUAAGCUGAUCGACAAUGAAGAGGGUACAUGAGUCAAUUCCACGGAAUUUCGAAGCCUAAUUGGUAGUUUGAGGUACCUGACGCACACUAGACCUGACUUACUCUAUUCUGUGGGAGUUUUAAGCAGGUUUAUGGAGAAACCUAUGGUUGAACAUCUCAGCGGUGUGAAACGAAUUCUGAGAUAUGUCAAGGGGACAAUCAACUAUGGAAUUCUCUAUGAGAAAGGGAACAUGGAGACUAAACUCGUUGGGUUCAGCGACAGUGACUUUGCAGGGGACGUAAACGAUCGGAAGAGCACCUCAGGUCACAUUUUCUUCCUCGGUGGAAGACUGGUUAGCUGGGGGUCACAAAAGCAGCACAUAGUUGCACUGUCAUCAUGCGAGGCCAAGUACAUCGCAGCCACUGCCGCAGCAUGUCAAGGUGUAUGGAUGAACCGGUUGAUCUGCGAGUUGAAAGGAGAGACUCCAUCGACUGUGAGAUUGACGCUGGACAAUCAAUCAACCAUCACCAUGAGCAAGAAUCCUGUUCAUCAUAAUCGUACGAAGCAUAUUGAUACAAGGUAUCACUUCAUACGGAGUUGUGUCGAAGAUAAAAAGGUCGAGGUUUGCUACAUUCGGACAGAGGAUCAGUUAGCCGAUAUUCUUACCAAGGCACUUGGUAAAUUGAAAUUCCAAGAGAUGAGGCGUCGGAUUGGAGUACGAAGCUCAAGCACGGAGGAGCUAGAGCAAGGAGGAGUAUGAUGGAGUUGCUCCAGCUCUUCGGGGGGGAAUCAUCGGCUCUGGCGAGAACUUCCGGCGAGGCGUCAAUUUGGGGAUUUUUGCCAGAUCAGGUAGUUAUGACCAUUUGCAAGUUUUAAUCAGGACCGUCGGAUGGGAGGAGUUAUAACGGGCCGGAUGUGGCCAGCAAGGAUAAGUCGCCAGAUGGACGAGCGGCGGUUGGAGUUAAUUUCUCUCUUCUUCAUCCCUUGGCUGCCCUAUAAAUAGGGCUAAGUGUUCGACGAUAUGACAGAGAGAGAAAAACAAGUGUUUGCGAAGCC
rnacentral:lncRNA from 1 species